GACGAACGCUGGCGGCGUGCUUAACACAUGCAAGUCUAACGGAAAGGCCCUGCUUUUGUGGGGUGCUCGAGUGGCGAACGGGUGAGUAACACGUGAGUAACCUGCCCUUGACUUUGGGAUAACUUCAGGAAACUGGGGCUAAUACCGGAUAGGAGCUCCUGCUGCAUGGUGGGGGUUGGAAAGUUUCGGCGGUUGGGGAUGGACUCGCGGCUUAUCAGCUUGUUGGUGGGGUAGUGGCUUACCAAGGCUUUGACGGGUAGCCGGCCUGAGAGGGUGACCGGCCACAUUGGGACUGAGAUACGGCCCAGACUCCUACGGGAGGCAGCAGUGGGGAAUAUUGCACAAUGGGCGGAAGCCUGAUGCAGCAACGCCGCGUGCGGGAUGACGGCCUUCGGGUUGUAAACCGCUUUCGCCUGUGACGAAGCGUGAGUGACGGUAAUGGGUAAAGAAGCACCGGCUAACUACGUGCCAGCAGCCGCGGUGAUACGUAGGGUGCGAGCGUUGUCCGGAUUUAUUGGGCGUAAAGGGCUCGUAGGUGGUUGAUCGCGUCGGAAGUGUAAUCUUGGGGCUUAACCCUGAGCGUGCUUUCGAUACGGGUUGACUUGAGGAAGGUAGGGGAGAAUGGAAUUCCUGGUGGAGCGGUGGAAUGCGCAGAUAUCAGGAGGAACACCAGUGGCGAAGGCGGUUCUCUGGGCCUUUCCUGACGCUGAGGAGCGAAAGCGUGGGGAGCGAACAGGCUUAGAUACCCUGGUAGUCCACGCUGUAAACGGUGGGUACUAGGUGUGGGGUCCAUUCCACGGGUUCCGUGCCGUAGCUAACGCUUUAAGUACCCCGCCUGGGGAGUACGGCCGCAAGGCUAAAACUCAAAGGAAUUGACGGGGCCCCGCACAAGCGGCGGAGCAUGCGGAUUAAUUCGAUGCAACGCGUAGAACCUUACCUGGGUUUGACAUGGAUCGGGAGUGCUCAGAGAUGGGUGUGCCUCUUUUGGGGUCGGUUCACAGGUGGUACAUGGCUGUCGUCAGCUCGUGUCGUGAGAUGUUGGGUUAAGUCCCGCAACGAGCGCAACCCUUGUUCACUGUUGCCAGCACGUUAUGGUGGGGACUCAGUGGAGACCGCCGGGGUCAACUCGGAGGAAGGUGGGGAUGACGUCAAGUCAUCAUGCCCCUUAUGUCCAGGGCUUCACGCAUGCUACAAUGGCUGGUACAGAGAGUGGCGAGCCUGUGAGGGUGAGCGAAUCUCGGAAAGCCGGUCUCAGUUCGGAUUGGGGUCUGCAACUCGACCUCAUGAAGUCGGAGUCGCUAGUAAUCGCAGAUCAGCAACGCUGCGGAAAUACGUUCCCGGG
rnacentral:rRNA from 1 species